rnacentral:rRNA from 1 species
UACGUAGGGUGCUAGCGUUGUCCGGAUUUAUUGGGCGUAAAGGGCGCGUAGGCGGGCGGCCAAGUCAGGGGUGAAAUCUUUCGGCUCAACCGGAAAAUGGCUUCUGAUACUGGUCGUCUUGAGUGAGGUAGGGGCAUGUGGAACUUCCGGUGGAGCGGUGAAAUGCGUAGAUAUCGGAAGGAACGCCGGUGGCGAAAGCGGAUCUCUGGGCCAUAACUGACGCUGAGGAGCGAAAGCAUGGGGAGCGAACAGG